AUUUGGUGGUGGGGACAACUAGCAACAAGUUGCUUAAACCUUUCCCAAUAUUCAUAUAAUGUCUCACCACCAAACUGYCRAACUCCAYAUAUUUCUUUUCUUAUAUU
rfam:Nelumbo nucifera unplaced genomic scaffold scaffold00442, whole genome shotgun sequence